rnacentral:lncRNA from 1 species
CCAAGUGCACUUGUGCUGUUUAAAAAAAAAAAAAAAAAAAAAAAAAAAAAAAAAAAAAAAAAAAAAGAAUGUUGCAUUUGUGGCUUUUAGGGUAGGUUUUAUGAAUGACAAAUUAUACUUGAUGAAAUUGUAUCUCCUAUCUGUCCCUGAACAGUUCUGUCUGCCGCCUGGUUUUAAUCAGCGCUUUGGGAAGGCAGUGUCUGCGCUGAUGUUAUAUAAUUGACAUGGUUCGCCAUCAGAUAUUUUUAAUGUACUUUCGGACGAAAGAAACUUCAUCUGUCUCUUCAGACAGGCUCAAGGUGUAGACAGAGUGAGGGCUGCAAAGGUUUGCCCUCCUCUAGCUCCAGAUGUGUGAGCUCAGCUGUUGCCUGUCACUUAGGUGACAACUGGCCUUUUUCUGACUAAGCCUUUGCUGUCGCCAUUAUCCUCAGUAAAGUAUCAGUGUUCGGAGGCCUUCUAUUACCAAGAGUGGGACCGGGCCCCUUGGGAGGUGUCAGCCGUGUUUGACCAUCCCUAACAAUAUGUCUGUUUUUAGAAUAGAAAGGGGGGGAGGACCAAAAAAAACCCUGACAGCAAGAUAGAUACACUUUUAGAUUAAGACCAACCUAAUCUAAAAAUUCUGUUUUAAUCAAGACAGCUCCGUAAGGAUGACGCAAUGUUUGUCAAGCCUUUCUCCCUAGAACAAUAUUUACUCCCACCAGGGGAUUUAAAACUUAAACAACAGCCAUUUAUCUUGCUGUCUGGUAGAGCUGGGUUCAUUUUGCCUCCAAUGUGGUCCUAGCCUAGGUGGCUGGAACAAGAAUCUAUCACUGGAGCCAGCUGGAGCCGGAAGAAAGAAAAAUAUAACACCUGCUGGUACCAGAGAGCCCUAAAUGCCAUCAACCAGGGAGUCGGGAUAUUUUAUAAGCGCGUCCAGAAAUGUUUAUACUAAAGAUUUAAAGGUUAACACUGCAAGGGCUAUACACAAAAGGCACUAGAAAUAAAUGGAUGUGUUGCCCUCAGUUAAGAGAUAGCAUACUUACUGAUAAUUUGAAAUAAUAAUUAUGACUUGUGAAUGAAUUCUCAUGUUUCUAAAUAGGCCCUAGAAAGGAAGGGCAGUUGGGGGAGGGGAGGGGGUACGCAGAAUGAUGUCUAAAGAUGGACAGGCUGAUAUGAGUGAAUGAGUUUAGUAAUUUAAUUUUUUUUCAUUCUUAAUUUAGUUCUAGUUAGAGAGUUACCACGGAGUGAGCCUGUUGAUUCAUGGACUCUUUUGAAGAGAAAACUGCUAUAUGUCACUAAAGUGACAAAUCAACCAGUUCUGCCCAAUGAAGCUUAAAGGGUUGACUUUAUUAUUUUUUUUUUUAUAACCAAAGACCAUGGGUUCACUCUUGGCUGUAAUGAGUCAGCUUGGGUUAUGAAAGGAACACCUAAUACAAGCUAGGAAGAAAAAAAAAAAAGUUUGCAGUUAACAGCUGGAAUAUGAUUGAGUUGGCCCUAAAAAACGGAGUUAAAUUUUACAGUUUCCUCAGGGAAUUUCAAAAGUGAGCUGGGACGUAAAUUUGUGAAAUAUUAUGAUUAGAUAAUCUCUUUUAAAGUCCACAGUAACUUGUCAGUAGCGCACAAAAAGGCUAAGUUCUGCAAAGUGAUGACUUUGCUGUACCAGUGGGCUAACCUGGGCAAGUGCUGGUCACCAUGGGUGAGCCCCGCCCCAGUGACAUUCCUAAGGCUGGAGAAAUAGAAUGAAGACUCUUUAAAAAUUAUUUACCAUCAAGUAACUCUUAGAACUCUUAGUAACUCCUACCCUACCCUGUAUUUUUGAACUGUCUGUCUGAUCAGGGUUAUGUUUGCUGAUCUUUUAAUUACAGCAUUCAAUUCCCUGAACCAAGUCGUUUAUAAUGGACAAAUCUUCCAUUUUAAAGAAGUAGAAUUCCAAAAAGCAAAAUGGGGUUCUGGAGAGAUGGCUCGGUUGGGAAAGUAUUUGUUCUGCAAAGAUGAAGGCCUCAGUUCAGAUCCCCAGGACCCAUGUACAAAACUGGGUGUGGUCACCUAUGCUUAUCAGCAACCAGGGUCGCAGGGCAGGAGGGACCAGAGCUUGCUCUCAGGCCAGCCAGCAUAAACCAUCAGCAAGUUCUAGCUCUGUGAGAGACUUUGUCUAAACAAGAAUUAAAUAAGGUGGGGAGACAUGGAGGAUAAUGCUGGACAUCAACUUCUGACCUCCGUGCAAAGACCUACACUCACACACACACACACAGUGUUUCUCAUGUGAGCAUAGAAAUGUUUAUGUCAUCUGAGCAACAUAGACUCCUCCCCCUCCCCCCAGGAAAACAGUUCUGUGUUUUCUCCAUGUUAUAUAUGUUCUUCAUUCACCUCUUACCACUGUGAGAAUAUUAGAACUGUGUAAAUCCAGGUAUAAAAUGUUCUACAAUGACAAGGAAUAAGGGAUAGGAAGGAGGUGUUUCCCUGUGGUUAUGCUAAGGGACCGUUAGUUUUCUCCUGGUUAUUGGGUAGAGAUGUGUAGAGUUGCAUAGUGGUGCUUUUAGAAAGUGGGUAUGGACAAAUGAUUGGGGGGAGAAAAGCAGAGUUAUCUGGAGGUCAAGCCGUGCACUGCUAAUAGUGCUGUGCCUCUAAGCCUCAGCAGCAAAGGGAGCCAGCGCCUCCAACAGUAUGUCAGAGACCAGGAUUGCCCAAGGGCAGCAGAGCUGCUCUGUCCUUCUGGACUCCUCCCUUUGGAUAUAAGCAUAAGCCAUCCCUCAGCACCCUGGUAACCAAUAAACCUCCUUGUUUAUAGUAAUGCUGAGCAGAAGGGGUGGGGGGGGGCGGAGAUUGGCUCCUGCUGUGGGCUGGUGCGUGAGCAUCCAGGACCAUCGGAAUGGGCUGGCCAGUAGCAACCAGGAACCCUUGCAAGCCCGUUUCCCUUGACCCUCUCUCCUGAGGAAGGCGGUGGAAAGAGACUUACUUUACAGCUUGGGGCAUGCUGAUGUCAUGACGCUUCUGGCACAAAGAUACGAUAGAAUAAUCAGAUCCCUCUCUGUGUGCCAAAAUGACACGAUUUUUCCACGAGCUGUUCCUGAACCGCUGGUCCACGGGCACGGCCUGUUUCCAGUUAUGGAGUGCGGGAGGGGGCUCGGCGGGGUGGGGGUGGGGGUAGGGUAGGAGGAGGGGCAGGCCUCUUCAGACAGUUCGAUAAUUCUUCCUAUGUCUGUCUGUUUAAACUACAAGCUCAUAGUCACAUCUGAAGGGACUUCUUUGAGAACACAAAGACAGUACUGCCUCCCGUGGUCAUUUGCCUAUGAGGUAAAACCCCAGAUAGGCAGAAGCCGGUGUAAAACAUUUGAAAACAGAGAAAGCAAGGGAGCCAACAGCUGCCAUUCACUUUUUAUGUGACGCCUCUCCCCCAAGUUUUGUUCUAAAAAGUUUUUAAAUCAACUGGCUAGUUAAGCUGACAUUGCAUUUUUUUUCCCUCCCUGGGAGAUUGGAGCGAUCCCGUUCAUUGCCAGCACGUUACAUACAUACUCUUCAGAAAACAAGUUAGGGGCUGUGUUAUUUCAUAUGUCUUGGUGCCCGGUCCUACUUGUGGGUUUGCAGCUCCUGCCAGCUCUGCUCUGCUCUUCUGUUCUCAGUAGGCCUUUGGAAAGAGACAUGUUGUCCGUGAAGGGUGACAUUCUACAUUGAGAUGUCCCCCUCAGUGCCUUGAGUCCUCUCCCAUAGACCCACCCUGCCCUUCUUUUAUGGAGGUACUGGGCCCACAGUUCACAAUUAUGGUCUGUGACUUUAGUAACAACUCUGUUUGAAAUGUUUCCAAUUACACAUGAGAUUGGCCCCUCGAAGCAGCUGCGUGCCGAAAGCAUUUCCUAGUGUGCUCCAAGAAUCAGGCUGUGAUUGCUUUUAAUUUAAAUAAAGGCUAUUUGGCUUCCUGUGAUUUUUUUUUAUAACCACCUUUUCCUCAGUUUGUAUUGCCUUAAAAAGUAAAAACAAAAAGAGGCCAGUAUAGAGUAGCCACCAGUUUUCUAGGAUACCAUUUGCCUUGAACACUCUGAACUUAAUAAAAGAAACUUAAAGAAACAUUGUGUGCCAUUGGGUUUCCCCAAGGAAGGGGGAAAGGUUACCUGGUAAGACCUUGUAAGUAGCUAGUGUUUUCAGGUUUUCUUCCUUGUUUUUCUUUAGAGACUAUCGUAAUUAUACAUUUAAGCCAUUGGCUAGCAUCUGACAAGUUGUCUUUUAUUCAGGUUAUUCCACUUUACCUUUUGAAGGACCUGGAAGAAUGGUUUAAAACAAAAAAUACUAAAACAGGACAGAGAGAGAGAGAGAGAGAGAGAGAGAGAGACAGAGACAGAGACAGACAGAGAGACAGAGAGAGAGAGAUUUAAAAUAUACUUAAGACAAAACAGGAGAUAGCAAAUAAUUUCAUCUAUUCUACAGGCACCAAAUCUUCCUAAUCUACCGCCCCUGUGGCCUCCAACUUUUUUUUUUAAACACAGUGGUGGCUCUAAUCCGCUAAUAGCCAGCAGAUAUAUUUGAUAUACUGAACUUG